CUACGGGUCGCUGCAGUGGGGAAUAUUGGACAAUGGGGGAAACCCUGAUCCAGCAAUGCCGCGUGUGUGAAGAAGGCCUGCGGGUUGUAAAGCACUUUCGGUUGGGAGGACUGCUUCUAGCACUAAUAUUGUUGGAAGUUGACGUUACCUUCAGAAGAAGCACCGGCUAACUCCGUGCCAGCAGCCGGGCGGUAAUACGGAGGGUGCAAGCGUGAAUCGGAAUUACUGGGCGUAAAGCGCGCGUAGGCGGCUAGAUCAGUCGGGUGUGAAAGCCCCAGGCUUAACCUGGGAACUGCAUCCGAUACUGUCUAGCUUGAGUACAGGAGAGGAGAGUGGAAUUCCACAUGUAGCGGUGAAAUGCGUAGAUAUGUGGAGGAACACCAAUGGCGAAGGCAGCUCUCUGGCCUGAUACUGACGCUGAGGUGCGAAAGCGUGGGGAGCAAACAGGAUUAGAUACCCCUGUAGUC
rnacentral:rRNA from 1 species